AGAGUUUGAUCCUGGCUCAGGAUGAACGCUGGCGGCGUGCCUAAUACAUGCAAGUCGAGCGCCCUGCACAGUGCGCUUCUUGCCUCUCAAGUCAAAAGAGAGGACAAGAAGAAGCGUAGCGUGCAGGGAGCGGCGGACGGCUGAGUAACACGUAGGAACGUACCCCAAAGUGAGGGAUAAGCACCAGAAAUGGUGUCUAAUACCGCAUGUGCUCUUCGGAGUAAAGCUUCGGCGCUUUGGGAACGGCCUGCGCAUGAUUAGCUUGUUGGUGAGGUAAAAGCUCACCAAGGCGACGAUCAUUAGCUGGUCUGAGAGGAUGAUCAGCCAGACUGGAACUGAGAACGGUCCAGACUCCUACGGGAGGCAGCAGUAGGGAAUUUUCCACAAUGGGCGAAAGCCUGAUGGAGCAACGCCGCGUGCAGGAUGAAGGCUUUCGGGUCGUAAACUGCUUUUAUCUGUGACGAAUUUGACGGUAGCAGAUGAAUAAGGAUCGGCUAACUCCGUGCCAGCAGCCGCGGUCAUACGGAGGAUCCAAGCGUUAUCCGGAAUUACUGGGCGUAAAGAGUUGCGUAGGUGGCAGAGUAAGUUGGUAGUGAAAGCGUUCGGCUCAACCGAAUAUACAUUAUCAAAACUGCUCAGCUAGAGGACGAGAGAGGUUAUUGGAAUUCCUAGUGUAGGAGUGAAAUCCGUAGAUAUUAGGAGGAACACCGAUGGCGUAGGCAGAUAACUGGCUCGUUCCUGACACUAAGGCACGAAAGCGUGGGUAGCAAACGGGAUUAGAUACCCCAGUAGUCC
rnacentral:rRNA from 1 species